AAUUGAUUUGUGUCUGUUUACUCACCCUCCAAAAUCGUUUUAAUCUGUUCACCCCGGGCAGUUUGGAGGCGUUCAUCCCUGUGAAGGUAGGUAUCCCCUUGUAGCUGCCAGGAUGUCUGGUGGCCGUGCAAUGAGAUGCCUGGGGAUUCUCACAGAAGGGACACUCCCUGGCUUUUAGCGAUGCUGCUUACUAAGACCACAGUUUGCUGGCAGCCCGGAGCAGCCAAUAGCUGAGCCGGACGUUUCAGCCUCUGGGGAGCAGGGAGCAGAGCUGCCCCACACCAGUGGAGGAGCCUCUGACCUGGUCCAGGGCUCAGCCUCCCGGGGGGGCAACGAUGCUUUCUGAACAGCCCUGUCCACCUACUCCUCCUGCAGAUGGGUCUGGAGUCCUGGAUUGGAAACCAUGCUCUGCUCUGAGAAAGACUCGCUCAUGUUCAUCUCAACUCAGUCACCAGCCUGAAGCUGAGGGCCCUGAUGCUCGGCUGCCUCCGGCUCCUGAGUUGGCUCUGACCCUGGACAGGUGAUGGACGGAACAAAGCUGGACCGCACUACUCACGGCACCUGGCCCAGGGACAUCGCUGGUUUAAGUCACAGAGGUGACCUGGGCUUGCACAGACUAACCCCUGACCCAGGAAGGGUGUCCUCUGU
rnacentral:lncRNA from 1 species